GGAUGAACGCUGGCGGCGUGCUAAUACAUGCAAGUCGAGCGAACAGAUAAGGAGCUUGCUCCUUUGACGUUAGCGGCGGACGGGUGAGUAACACGUGGGUAACCUACCUAUAAGACUGGAAUAACUCCGGGAAACCGGGGCUAAUGCCGGAUAACAUAUAGAACCGCAUGGUUCUAUAGUGAAAGAUGGUUUUGCUAUCACUUAUAGAUGGACCCGCGCCGUAUUAGCUAGUUGGUAAGGUAACGGCUUACCAAGGCGACGAUACGUAGCCGACCUGAGAGGGUGAUCGGCCACACUGGAACUGAGACACGGUCCAGACUCCUACGGGAGGCAGCAGUAGGGAAUCUUCCGCAAUGGGCGAAAGCCUGACGGAGCAACGCCGCGUGAGUGAUGAAGGGUUUCGGCUCGUAAAACUCUGUUAUUAGGGAAGAACAUAUGUGUAAAGUAACUGUGCACAUCUUGACGGUACCUAAUCAGAAAAGCCACGGCUAACUACGUGCCAGCAGCCGCGGUAAUACGUAGGUGGCAAGCGUUAUCCGGAAUUAUUGGGCGUAAAGCGCGCGUAGGCGGUUUCUUAAGUCUGAUGUGAAAGCCCACGGCUCAACCCGUGGAGGGUCAUUGGAAACUGGGAAACUUGAGUGCAGAAGAGGAAAGUGGAAUUCCAUGUGUAGCGGUGAAAUGCGCAGAGAUAUGGAGGAACACCAGUGGCGAAGGCGACUUUCUGGUCUGUAACUGACGCUGAUGUGCGAAAGCGUGGGGAUCAAACAGGAUUAGAUACCCUGGUAGUCCACGCCGUAAACGAUGAGUGCUAAGUGUUAGGGGGUUUCCGCCCCUUAGUGCUGCAGCUAACGCAUUAAGCACUCCGCCUGGGGAGUACGACCGCAAGGUUGAAACUCAAAGGAAUUGACGGGGACCCGCACAAGCGGUGGAGCAUGUGGUUUAAUUCGAAGCAACGCGAAGAACCUUACCAAAUCUUGACAUCCUUUGACCACUCUAGAGAUAGAGCUUUCCCCUUCGGGGGACAAAGUGACAGGUGGUGCAUGGUUGUCGUCAGCUCGUGUCGUGAGAUGUUGGGUUAAGUCCCGCAACGAGCGCAACCCUUAAGCUUAGUUGCCAUCAUUAAGUUGGGCACUCUAGGUUGACUGCCGGUGACAAACCGGAGGAAGGUGGGGAUGACGUCAAAUCAUCAUGCCCCUUAUGAUUUGGGCUACACACGUGCUACAAUGGACAAUACAAAGGGCAGCUAAACCGCGAGGUCAUGCAAAUCCCAUAAAGUUGUUCUCAGUUCGGAUUGUAGUCUGCAACUCGACUACAUGAAGCUGGAAUCGCUAGUAAUCGUAGAUCAGCAUGCUACGGUGAAUACGUUCCCGGGUCUUGUACACACCGCCCGUCACACCACGAGAGUUUGUAACACCCGAAGCCGGUGGAGUAACCAUUUAUGGAGCUAGCC
rnacentral:rRNA from 1 species